UGGGACAUGGCCAAGUGGUAAAGCAACAGGCUUUGGUCUCGUUACUUGGAGGUUCGAAUCCUUCUGUCCCAG
rnacentral:tRNA from 1 species